UAAAUGGUAUAUUGUACACAGGCAGAGUGUCUCUAUUUGCCGAUUUAGGGAAAUCUUCCGUUUGCCUUGGGGGUAAAGGGAAUUGAUGUAGUUCUCUACAAUGUGGAGGGGCAAGCGGUUGCCGUAGGUUACAUGGAGUGUGAACGUCAGUUUCUUCAUGGGAAGUGUAUACCAUCCGGGUAUAAGGUGGUCCGUUUAACAUGGGUGAAGUCGUCUGAUAUUCCUGCUCCACUUGUGCUAGGAGAUCCUGAUGAGAAUUUCUUCUUGUCAUCUGGACAGUUUUUUGCCCUUCCUAUUGCCAGUUUAAAGCUUGUAAAACUAGUGAGAUAAUAAUCUUCUCUUAAAAAAAAUAGAACAUGGCAGCUGUUGGCCUUAGUCUGAGAAUGUUUUGAAGAGAAUAUGAAAGUAAUCUAUUAACGCUCAUGUUUUUCUCAUGUUCACAUUAACUUGAUCAACUUUUAGCCUCUUCAAGAAGCAGAAUCAGAAGAUAGGGGUGCGCUUAUUGCUCAUUCUUUAAAAUUAAUUAAUUGACACAACAAUAAAGAAUUUCUGUUAAGCUUUUGUUUUGCAAACACAGGAAAACUUGGUGUGCAAGAACAGUUAUAAAUAUCGUGCCCACAACUUCUGUUCAUGUCGUAGAUCCAUUAGAUUGAAAUGUAGUUUUUUUUGUUCGAAUUAUUUACCAGUAGGAUAGUCUUUCAAACCACGUUAGAGUGGCUGAUCAUACAGCUAUUUUUGUUAAAGGAAUGUUAGAAGUUUUCUUGGAACAUAAUUUGAUUUGUAAGUUUCUCUAGAGUUUUGCCUUUUCGAAUCUUUUUUUUUUUUUGCUCUUAUACUUGUUAUAACUUACGUUUUUACUCAUGGCCGUUUCCUUAGUACGGCGCCGCGGUGCUUGUGGCCUACCAUCUCUUGGUCUGUAAUUUUAAGUUUAUUUGGAGUACGAUUAAUAAACAUCGUAACACCGGUA